GUGAGAGUGAGAGAGAGAGAGAGAGAAGAGGGUGGAGGAGAGAGAGAGGGGCAACAGGCGGUGGAAAGUGGGAGAGAACGUUUUAGGUGGCACCAGGCGGCAUUUGAAUACUCAACAGCCGACCACACACACACACACACUAAGUAUCAGCGAGGUGCAAUUGGCACAGUAGUCUUUUUGUGACUUCCCAUCCUCUAGAAUUAGAUAUCUGUCCUCUCCCAAGCAGAGACAGAUUCCCAGAUAAAAAUAGCAUGAAGUAUUCCAGUCCUCCUCCCACUCUGCUGCCAGGAUUUGAGAUAGAGGGUGAGUGUCAUAUUAGGGGUUAGCAGCCCAGUGUAAACCUGGUGAGGAGGGGGACAUCCUCAAAAGGUACCUCACUUUCCACAGUUCACUCCUGUACACCAAAAUCAGGCUAGGUCAUGAUGUCUGCACAACAGCUAGAUGGGAUCUUACGAUAAGGAUCAGUCCAAAUUGGUUAUUACAGUAAGGAUCAGCCCAAAUGGUGUUAUUACAGUAAGGAUCAGCCCAAAUGGUGUUAUUACAGUAAGGAUCAGUCCAAAUGGUGUUAUUACAGUAAGGAUCAGCCCAAAUGGUGUUAUUACAGUAAGGAUCAGUCCAAAUGUGUCCUCACAGUAAGGAUCAGUCAGAAUGGGUUCUCACAGUCAGGAUCGGUCCAAAGGGGUCCUCACAGUAAGGAUCAGUCAGAAUGGAUCCUCACAGUAAGGAUCAGUCAGAAAGGGUUCUCACAGUAAGGAUCAGUUAGAAUGGGUUCUCACAGUAAGGAUCAGUCAGAAUGGGUUCUCACAGUAAGGAUCAGUCAGAAUGGGUUCUCACAGUAAGGAUCAGUCAGAAUGGGUUCUCACAGUAAGGAUCGGUCAAAAUGGGUUCUCACAGUAAGGAUCGGUAAAAAUGGGUUCUCACAGUAAGGAUCGGUCAGAAUGGGUUCUCACAGUAAGGACCGGUCAGAAUGGGUUCUCACAGUAAGGACCGGUCAGAAUGGGUUCUCACAGUAAGGAUCAGUCAGAAUGGGUUCUCACAGUAAGGAUCAGUCAGAAUGGGUUCUCACAGUAAGGAUCAGUCAGAAUGGGUUCUCACAGUAAGGAUCGGUCAAAAUGGGUUCUCACAGUAAGGAUCGGUAAAAAUGGGUUCUCACAGUAAGGAUCGG
ensembl:lncRNA